rnacentral:tRNA from 1 species
UCCCUGGUGGUCCAGUGGUUAAGAAUCUGCCUUGCAAUGGCAAGGAUGCAGGUUUGAUCCCUGGUCGGGGAA